GUGGUGGCUCAAUGGUAGAGCACUUACCUAGCAUGUGUGAGGCACUGGGUUCAAUUCUCAGUACCAUA
rnacentral:tRNA from 1 species